CCUCAGGUCCCGCAUCCAUAAACACCCAGUAGGCACUGGGUCUACAGCCCAACUUCUUUUUGGUUAAUGUGCGCGCUGCACGUACAGUGCAAACUGCUACGCAUGCUCAGCCAGAUACUUAGCACAGCAUACCGCUGUUUAGGAAUAUCCAUGCCUGAGAGUACUGCUUUUUCGUGUGGACCCACGUAACCCAAUGUGCUUACCUUGUUUCCUUCCUGUCACGAUUCUCAUGAUUAUGUUCUAAAGCCUGUGCAAAUUAUUAUUUCCUGUCAUGCCAUAUUUGUCGAUGCUAUACUUGCCCUGGCUGUCGGUGUCCGGCAAGCGUGUCUGUUUAAUCUCUGCACGGUUGAAAAAAUAAAGUUUUUUUUAUUGAUUUUGGAC